rnacentral:rRNA from 1 species
GCAUGCCUACAAAAUAACAUUAAUGCAUCAGAUCCCAUUAGAACUCCAUAGUUAAGCGUGCUCAGGCUAGAGUAGCACUGGGAUGGGUGACUUCCCAAGAAGUCCUAGUGUUUUAUAUGCC